rnacentral:rRNA from 1 species
GACGUUAGCUGCAGAAGAAGCACCGGCUAACUCCGUGCCAGCAGCCGCGGUAAUACGGGAGGGUGCGAGUCGUUAAUCGGAAUUACGUGGGACGUAAAGCGCAUGCAGGUGGUUUGUUAAGUCAGAUGUGAAAAGCCCCGGGGCUCAACCUCGGAAUAGCAUUUAGAAACUGGCAGACUAGAGUACUGUAGGAGGGGGUAGAAUUUCAGGUGUAGCGGUGAAAUGCGUAGAGAUCUGAAGGAAUACCGGUGGCGAAGGCGGCCCCCCUGGACAGAUACUGACACUCAGAUGACGAAAGCGGUGGGGAGACAAACAGGAUUAGAUACCCUGGUAG